GACGUAGGGGGCCAGCGUUGCUCGGAAUUACUGGGCGUAAAGGGUCCGUAGGCGGUGCGGUAAGUCGGGAGUGAAAUCUCUGGGCUUAACUCAGAGGCUGCUUCCGAAACUACCGUGCUAGAGUGCGAGAGAGGCAAGUGGAAUUGCGGGUGUAGCGGUGAAAUGCGGUAGAUAUCCGCAGGAACAUCCGAGGCGAAAGCGGCUUGCUGGAUCGCAACUGACGCUGAGGGACGAAAGCUAGGGGAGCAAACAGG
rnacentral:rRNA from 1 species